rnacentral:RNase_P_RNA from 1 species
AGAUGAUCGCGCCGUUCGGAGCUUGUCCGGACGGUGAGGAAAGUCCGGGCUUCACAGGGCAGGGUGCCGGAUAACGUCCGGUGGAGGCGACUCUAAGGCCAGUGCAACAGAAAAGAAACCGCCGUGCUACGGAUCGGCAGAUGCUUCUGCCUGACCCCGCACAGGUAAGGGUGGAAUGGCGGUGUAAGAGACCACCGCUUCUCUGGUAACAGGGAAGGCUGUGUAAACCCCACUCGAAGCAAGAUCAAAAUGUGCCGCAAGGCAUGGAAAACGAUACGGCGGCCCGUCGUGUUUUCCGGUAGAUCGCGUUCUGCCGCAAGGCAGAGGAGCUGCAUGGUAACAUGCAGUCAAGAAAGAUGAUCAUCAAAUACAGAACCCGGCUUACAGUGCUGCUCA